AACGCACCUUGCGCUCCUGGGCUAUUCCUAGGAGCAUGCCUGUUUGAGUGUCGUGAAAUCAUCAACCCCAGUUGGAUUUGAAAUUUGACUGGUGGCUUGGGCUUGGGGGUUUGCUGGCCGUUUUGAUUCGGUCUGGCUCCCCUUGAGUGUAUUAGCUUGGACUUGUUCCUAAGGCUUCAUGGCGUGAUAAUUAUCUACGCCGUGGCUGUGAGGCUUACUUUAACUGGGCUCAGCUUCCAACCGUCUGCUUGCGGACAACAUCUUAUUGACCUCUGACCUCAAAUCAGGUAGGAUUACCCGCUGAACUUAA
rnacentral:rRNA from 1 species